rnacentral:rRNA from 1 species
UACGGGGGGAGCAAGCGUUGUUCGGAUUUACUGGGCGUAAAGGGCGCGUAGGCGGCGCACCAAGUCACUUGUGAAAUCUCCGGGCUUAACCCGGAGCGGCCAAGUGAUACUGUCGUGCUAGAGUGCGGAAGGGGCUACUGGAAUUCCUGGUGUAGCGGUGAAAUGCGCAGAUAUCAGGAGGAACACCGAUGGCGAAGGCAGGUCUCUGGGCCACUACUGACGCUGAGAAGCGAAAGCGUGGGGAGCGAACAGG